CUGCCAGGCGUGUGGCUGGACACUGCCAGGCGCUGGCUGGCCGGCGUCUGGCCGCCGGCGUGGGCCUUGCCGUGGCUAACCGCCGUCUCCCUCUGCAGUUGAAGAAGAAGCCCAAGAUCAUGCAGCAGCAUCUUGAUUAUUGUUUCCCUGGUUUAUGGCUAUCCAAGAUAACUCCUCGAUCCUACAAAGCCAAUGAAUAAGACAUGUGUUCUUAUAGUCCGUAUACAUUGUGAAGGUUGUAAGGAUAGGUCAGGAAGAAGGUGCAGAAGGUUCAAGAUAAAAAGAAGAAAGGAACAAAAAGAGGAAGGCACUUUGAUAGAGAUUCUCGAGCUACUAAUCCAGAGGUUCGUUUGGAGUCUCUAACUAGGCAAUAUGAAUGAAGUCUCUAAUACUCUAACUUUAUUUUUGUCCUGAUUUGAUAAUGUUGU